ensembl:lncRNA novel transcript
GAAGACUCACUGGUCCAGAAGUCAGAACACCUGAGUCACUUGACAUGCACUCUCAGAUGAGCUGCUGCACUGCUCUGUGCCUCAGCCGCUUUCAUCUGUAGAAUGGGAUGGUCAUGAUGCCUGGCCAGCAGGGCCCAUGGAGCUUGUAUAAAACCUGAUGGGAGGGGAGGUUGCAGUAAAAGCCUUGGAGAUGAAAACACUGGACACAGGUCCCCUGGAGUCAUUGGAAUGCAGGUUCCUACUCGGAGGCCUGGGUUUCCAACAAUCUCCCAGUUCCUAGGCCCAGAUGUCCACCCUCCUUCACGAGCUCAGAAUUGAGCUCGUAUCGCCAACAUGUUUUGCGGAAAUGCUCAUAUCAACACUUGGUGAACCAGGAAGACUGUACCCUCAUUCCUUUCUCCUGCUGCCUGCUAGGUUGAGUUAGAAAGCUUACUCUCGAGUUUUACUGGCUUGCUUGUGCUUUUUGGCAUUUUCAAAAUUUUGUACAAUGAUCUUCAAAAAGCAAAAAUACAUUAAUUUUUUUAAAGGUAGGAUCCAUAUGAGAUUGGAUCUUCAUCUUCUAACACUUUGGAGAACAGAAAAGUGGUAUUUGGAGAUAUAAUCUUCAUAAGAAUUGUGGCACUGAAUAAAAGAGCACUGGAAGAGGAAAGAAACAUAAAGGAAAGAAAGGAAAAGAAAAGACCAAAAGAAAAGCAAGGCUCCACUUGCAAAUGAGAGAGCAACUUGGAAAACCUGCCACUCACUACCACUGAUGCCCACAAGAGGGCGUCUCAGGGUCAUCCGGAAGGCAAAACUCAAGUCCAAGAUCCGCUUCCCAGCAGCUGGAAAUGACCAAUGAGUAGGUUCUGGAAUAUCAGCAAUGACCCUGGCUCUCCAGCACUUUACAGUUUACAUUAGACUCUCCUCCCCGACGUCAUUUGCACCUCCCAAGGCCAGUUCUCCCGGUGGUUUCCAGCCCUGGGGCGUUUGUGGUUCUCUCUGCCUAGUGGGAUGCAACUGGCAUUUAGUGUUUGUCCGUAUGUGGGUGUGGCUGGGGAGGGCAGAGAGGCAAACAGCCCCGCACAAGCUGUACAGUCCCCCUCAUCAAGAUGUGGCACUCCCUCUUUGCCAAUAGCAACUCCUUUUUGAAACACUGGGCCUGAAGCAAUCAUCUUGAAGACAUUUUUCAUCAAUCUUGUUGAAAUCAACCUGGUUUUUCAAAAUAGAGGAAGCACAUCAAUGAA